rnacentral:rRNA from 1 species
UGCUUUUACAGUAUGAAAAUUGGUGAUUUAUAAUAACUUAGCAAAUCGCAAAGUGAAAACAGGCGAUAAAUCAUUCAAGUUUCUGACCUAUCAGCUUUCGACGGUAUGGUAUUGGCUUACCGUGGCAGUGACGGUUAACGGGGGAUUAGGGUUCGAUUCCGGAGAGGGAGCCUGAGAAACGGCUACCACAUCUAAGGAAGGCAGCAGGCGCGCAAAUUACCCAAUUCUAACAGUUUGAGAGAGGUAGUAACAAGAAAUAACAAUACAAGGCAGUUAAAAUGCUUUGUAAUUGGAAUGAUAGAAAUUUAAACCCUUUUUAAAGUAUCAAUUGGAGGGCAAGUCUGGUGCCAGCAGCCGCGGUAAUUCCAGCUCCAAUAGCGUAUAUUAAAAUUGUUGCAGUUAAAAAGCUCGUAGUUGAAGUUCUGCUAAAAGUAACCGGUCUGCUUUGAAUAAAAGUGGUAUCUUGGUAUGUAUUUAGCAAUGAUGUCCUUUGAAGUGUUUUUUACUUUAUUGUAAUAAAGCAUAUUCAGGACUUUUACUUUGAGAAAAUUAGAGUGUUUCUAGCAGGCCAACGCUUUGAAUACUGCAGCAUGGAAUAA